GCGGUCGAUGACGAAUGGUGAGUCAGCGGGUUGUGACCCCGCGAGCACGUUGCUCAAGAGAGUUCGAUCCUCUCCGUCCGCC
rnacentral:tRNA from 1 species